rnacentral:rRNA from 1 species
CUUAAAUAUUUAUAGUAAUAGUCUUAAAAUUUAAAGAAUUUGGCGGUAUUUUAGUCUAGUUAGAGGAACCUGUUUUUUAAAUGACACACCACGCAAUAUCUUACUUUAGUUUGUAUACCAUCAUUGUUAGAUAAUUUUUAUAAAAAAAUAUUAAAAUUAUAGAUUAUAAUUAUAUUAGAUCAAGGUGCAGCUGAUAAAAAAGUUAAAAUGGGUUACAAUAAAAUUUAUUUUUGGAUUAAAUUUUAUAAAAUUGGAUUUAAUUGUAUAAAAUUAUAUUAAGGGUUUAAUAUAUAAGCUCUAAAUUAUGU